rnacentral:misc_RNA from 1 species
AUAAAAAAAAAAAAAAAAAGCAAUCACAACCAAUGCUCAAAACCCUUUUUCUCAAGCAUAAAUGGCAAUCAAAUUGCAGAAAGACUAGCCCAUUUUCCAAGUUCAUAAGGAUCAGCAUAGUAAUACAACUUAAUCCUAUUUGAUAAAGACAGCCCAGCUGCUAAAGGCGCGGCUCGUAAGUCAUAAUCGUCCUGUUCUGCUGGGUCAUCUGUGAAUGCUGCAACAUCACCCAGAAGCUUGAAGGAAACUCUGCGGGUUUGAAUCUGUCUGGGAAAGUCAAAGUACAUUGAGGUUCCAGCCCUAGCCUCUGGCAGUCGAUACUCACCAAUAAUUACCAUGCUGUGUGGUUCCUGUAAUUUAUUUAUGUGAUUUUUCAGUUUAGUUCCAAUUACUUGAUCAAACAAACCACUAGCCAACAAACUGGCGUCGUCCAUGCUUAAUGAGAGAGUGAAAAUGGGAAAGGAAAGGUAACUAUGGAUGAUUUACUAAGCUUAGCCUUUUAUCGUCAUUUUAAUAAAUGGUUUAACCCCAAUUUUCCCCCCUCUUUUUUCAUGAGGAUUUUCAACUGCUUUCUUACAACAAGCACAGGAGCAAGAAUCACUAAAGGAACGGCAAAAUUUGCAAUCAAAGGCUCCUAAAAAUCUGUGGAUGAGCAGACAGAUAAUCCAUAUGUAUGUGUUGUAGAAGUGAGAAGCGUUCCUCACUAUUCCUUUCCCUCCCAUGCAAGUCCUACUGGAGAUAUCUACUUGCACUUCCAACAUGGCAUCAAUUAUUUGGUUGCAAAUGCUUACUAAAAUUUAAAGUUGGUCUGAUGAUGAUACCUGAAGUGCAGAAACUUGAAUAUACAACACAGGAGGAGAAAUGUGUCUAUCUUCUAAAAAUGUUACAGACGUAUCCCAUGUAUCUACAUCUGAAGAUGGAGAAUGGGCAACACGAGGCUUUAUUGCAGUGAAGGCAUCAAAACGAAAUCCAGCAAGCGAAGGAGAAGAAGGUGGCAAAUAUUGCUCCAAGAAAAGAUCAUUGUCCAUUAGCCUCUCAGCCUCAGUUGGAAUCUUGAAUCUAUUCAACGGUGGAGCCCUCUCCAGCCAACUAUUAAAAUUCAUCUGGUCAGAUUCCUGUGAUGUAAGCCCCAUCUCUUUUUUCACUGGACUUCCAACUACCAAAAUUCUUCUAGCAUGAAGACAUGGGUCAUUUUCAACUGAGCCACCAAAAGAAGAACGUCUAUUCACUUGCGCAAAAGGGUUCUCAUCCAAGGAUAAAAGAUUAAAGUCUCUCUCAAAAUUAACAGAACUUGAUCCAGGUCGUGGAAGACGUACUGUUAUCCAAAUGAUUCGGCAUCUAACAGGAUUCCUAAAGGAAAAUUUCACAUGCCUAGGUACUUCAUCAUCUCCACCUGACUUUUCUGGCCCAUAAAUUUCCGACGAAGAUGGAACCAAUGAUUGAACAUCCCAUUUUCCCAUGCAUGACCUUUCUUCCUUCUGUAUUUUAUUGCUGGCCCAGAUUUGAACAUUAGGAGCAUCAGCCACUGAAUAGCCACAAGGACUAACAAGAAAGAUAACUCCACUGACAUCAGAAAGGGAACUAAGAACAAUAACAAAUUCGACAGAAUUGGUAGUUGAAGGAGCUUUCCAAUAUGACUGUCGUGACCCAAAUUUCAGUGGAGAAAGUAAUGAGAAGAAUGGUGCUGAAUCUGUUGCCGUUUCAACCGAGUGCAAGAAGCUAGCCAAUGGAAAUUCUGCAAGUGAUUCUCCCCCAGAAAGCAGUUUUUGUAGGGCCUUGGCAGCUCGCUGACUAUCAGAAGACGGGCUUUUUUCAUGAACACCACCCCUUAAGGGAGAUCCUAUAACCUCGUCCAAAGCUUUGUGAGCAGCACUGUCAGCACGAUCCCUUCUUCGUAGACUAAUCAAGACUCUCAAAUAAUCCAAGAUCAAUGCAUCAAGGACAAUGUCGCGGCAGCAUUGUUUACAAAUAACACUAUCCAGUGGCACUGAACGACUUGUAGAACUGUCAAUUUGGCUGCCAUGGCUUGACCCACCCUGACUCGCUAGACCAUUAUAAUUUGUAGCAUCCUUCGAGUUACUACUCAUAAGCCAAAGAGCUCCUCUCCCAGCACAACAAACUUUACAAACUUUUCUUUCGCAUUCAGAGCAUAUCAAGAUGGAUUGUGAAGCUCCCACAGAGGACGUGACAGAGGAUGCAUGUGUUGGUGCCAUUGUUUCAGCAUGCACCUCACAUAUGGGACCAGAACAGCUAUCCCCAAUUCCAGAAACAUUCCAAAAAUCUAUUACGUUAUCAUCAAUAUUACCCAGACCAAUAGCAGCAUUAAGUUUGUCCUCAAGCGAAGCUUGUCCAAGUAAAGCAAGGGUGUUUGCAACCCUGCACAAUCUGCCCAUGUAUGAUUCAUCAAUCAAAGCAUUUGGAUUUAUUGUAGCAGGGUCAAUACCAAUGGACAACAAAGCUCUAUCCCUUUCAGCAGCAGAAAGAUUCAGACGGAGCCUUUCAAUUUCAAGUUUCAUUGCUUCAACAAAGUCAAACUUUCUUGUCAUUUGUGGCCCUGCAAGGUUCUUGAGACAAUUAAUGUACUUCUGCGCGCUACUUGCAUCAUGUGAUGAAGAAAACUUACAAUCAGUUACAGCACCAUGAUAUUCAGUGGCAACUUCGGCCAAGAAAUCAAGCAUGUCACUUCCCUCUUGGACAUUAUUUUGUGCUAGUGGAUGAGAAACAGGUUCUGAAACCCCAUCGUCUCCAGUCAAAAGAUCAAGCCAGUUUGCAGAAGUAGUUUUUUGCAUUGAUGGCAUCACAGUUUCAUUAGUUGAAGAAGUGCUAGAAAAUGGAUUGUUGUCUGCACUAGACAAGAAUGGAUUAGUUUUAGUUUCUUUAAGACCCUUUUUAACAACUUCAGCUAUUCUUGCACCAGAGCCUUCAUUAUUAAAUACACCGCUCCAUGGAAGAGAAACUCCAAGGAUCUCUAUCUCACCAAAAGUCAUAGGACUUCUUCCAGAAACAGCAGGAUAAAAUGUAAUUGCCACAACACGGGUAAGGAAAUCUAAUUCUCCCUCUAGUUCUUCAAACUCAUACAAUAAUGGAAGGGUGGUUGUAUCUUGAGCAUGAAGACGUGCACCAGCUCCUGUGAUAGCCAUAUCCUCUGCACUAAUUGGUCCUGGCAAGGGUAUUAAAAGGUUUGUCCCAUUUACACACUGAGGUAUUGAAGCACCCUCUACAACAAGUUUAAGCCCAUCUAGGUAGCGUCCCGUCCUCACAUCAACUGUUGACGGAUAAGUUGAAUCAUCUACCCCAUGAGAUACUGUUAGAAGAAGUUGACAGACAUGGCAAGGCUCACCAAGAUAGAUAAAAAGUUCAACCACAUCUGGAGCUUGUGGGCAAACCCAUAUGAGAUCUUUUUUUUUGAAGCUCAAAGGACUGGACCCACUCGGAAACAUGUUGGCAACUGGCUUAAGAAAGAAACCGCAUGGUCGAGAUGGUACAUUUAGAGGUUUAACUGGAAUUGAUGGAAGAUGCUUGAACAGUCUUAUUCCAAGAAAGAUUUCUAACUGCUUCUGACGAGAGCUGUCCACAACUGCAUUUUUAUAUCUUCUUUGUAAAGUAAUUUUCAUAUUCUGAGCUGCAGAAAACUGUUUAAACUUUCCUGCUUCUUCAUUGAAUAUGCUAAGAAUUUGGCUAUGCAUAGCUUUAGAACCAGUAUAUAGUGUUGCAUGGAUAUCACCAGCAAGAAGAAAAAGAUCAGCUAGCUGAGAUACAGGAGACAGAAUUGUUGAUCUCUUGAACUCCUCAAAUGUCAUAUCAAAUCUUUUCCAAGGUUUAUCUGGGCAAGGAUGAUUCCAUGUUGUGGUCCUGGUGUUAUGAUCAAUGUAGUAUGUCUUACCAGUUACAGCAUCAGAUCUUUUCUCCCAGCCUGGUGGCAAUGGAGCACUAUAUCCACCAUAGUUAUCAACUGACUGAUAACCAUAUACCAUAUCACUAUCAAGUGAUACGGCCAACCUCCUGCAUUGUUCCACAAAAACUUGGAGGGCACCGAAGUAACUAGCAGCAUUGGUUCUAUCCAGAGAAUCUGCACAAUUAAAACGUAUAACUCCAUUUUGAUGUGAUCGUAAGCAGAAGGCACCAGCAAAAUCAUCAUUAUAGAUGAUUUCACCUCUGCAAUCCUUAAGUCGUUGUCGUGAAGGUAAAUAGUCCCCUUCAGAUAUGCCUAUAGUAACAGUGGGUGCUUUAAGAAGUUUCCACAGUCCUUCAAUUGUUUGCUGUUCACCUUUUAGUUUUACACUGGCAUGCCAAUCAUAAUUUAUUAGAUGUAAUCGAGUAUAAGGAAGUUUUCCAGUUGAUCUGAUAUAGUUUAGAGAUUCCUCAAAAUGCUGAACUAGGAGAGAUUCUGACUUUCCUUCUCCAUUCCUGAGAAGGUUGAUGCACACAAUGGGAACAAAGGCUUUCUUCUUCUGACCUUCCUCAAAAGUUGCAUCUAAACUUCGAGCAUCAUAUCGUUUACUCAAUCUCUGAUAAUACUGUGAGCUUCCUUUAUAAGGAUCCCGAUCUGAAACAUAAAUUUCUGCUUCUGCAGCUGUAAUCUUUAGUUCUGCACCCCACCAGAUUGGAAUUGUGCCCCUUCGCCAAAUGUAGGUGUUGAAAGGAACACUCUGCCCAGUCUUUUUGGGGACCCAUACGAGUUGCUCACAUUCCACUUCAUUUCCUGUGCUAAAACAUGAAUUUAACCCCCUAGCCAAGUAUCGGGUGCCAGGAUGGAGCCUACUACGACGAGCUGUAAGAGCAACAAGCCCUUCUAACUGACCCAAGCUUCCAAAACUUCGACAUUCUGCAAAGCCCUGCAGAAGAGUGACACAGUGCAGUGGAAGCCCAAUGUCUUUGAAAGAUGUUGAAAACCAUCCAUUCCAAACAAAUUCAUCAUCAGGAUUUUCCAAGGGCAUGUGGCUUGGAAAAGGUCGAGUGAUGUCUCUUGUCUCACAGAAAUAGUGCUUCCCAUCAAUGUCAAGCUCAGUUAAAUCUUGAAUAUUCUUUAUUUCUCCUUUACCCUGCUGCUGAGGAUUCUGAAGAGAUAUUUUGAUCCAUUGACUCUCUGUCACAGUAUAUACACAACCUCCACCAGGCAAAUUUGGAAUGCCGGCAGUUAACUUUGUAGCUACAACAAGCAACCCAAAGCUUCCUAGGGCAGCAUAACCUAAAAUUGCCCUUGCAUAAGUUGUACUCCUACACAGCCACCGGGAUCCAUUUGUAAUGUAAUCUAAGGCUUCAUCUUCAGAUUUGAAGAUAUCAAAGCCCAGCUUCCCACUGUAGCAAAGUGCUCCGGUUGUUGGAUCAAUAUAUAUCACCUGAGUGUCAGUCCUAGAUGACAAGCUGGCAAUAAUAUACACCUCACCAGAAUCCAAAGUCACAACAACAACAGAUGUAUGUCUUGAACCACCAA